UUCCGAUAAUGUAGCUUUUUACGGAAGUUGAAUCGGAGGUCCGGAAGUCCUCCAAUGGCGGAAAAUGCGGAGAAUUCUGCAUUCUGCCUUGAGUUAGCGCAGGAACAGCUUCUGUCUUGCGUUAACCGGUUAACCCAGGGUGUUAACCGGUUAACACUGUUUUGAAUUGUGAAAAUUUGCUGUUUUGUCUGCGUUAACCGGUUAACCCAGGGUGUUAACCGGUUAACACUGUUGUGAUUGCUGAAAUAUUGCUGUUUGUGCUGCGUUAACCGGUUAACCCAGGGCGUUAACCGGUUAACACUGUUAAGUUUUGGGACAGGA
rnacentral:lncRNA from 1 species